rnacentral:rRNA from 1 species
GACGAACGCUGGCGGCGUGCUUAACACAUGCAAGUCGAACGGGUCUGCCCUGUUUUUUGCGGGGUGGAUCAGUGGCGAACGGGUGAGUAACACGUGAGUAACCUGCCCCUCACUUCUGGAUAACCGCUUGAAAGGGUGGCUAAUACGGGGUGUUCUGGCUGUGCCGCAUGGUGUGGCUGGGAAAGAUUCACUUUUGUGGUGUUUUGGUGGGGGAUGGGCUCGCGGCCUAUCAGCUUGUUGGUGGGGUGAUGGCCUGCCAAGGCUUUGACGGGUAGCCGGCCUGAGAGGGUGGGCGGUCACACUGGGACUGAGAUACGGCCCAGACUCCUGCGGGAGGCAGCAGUGGGGGGUAUUGCACAAUGGGCGGAAGCCUGAUGCAGCGACGUCGCGUGAGGGAUGGAGGCCUUCGGGUUGUGAACCUCUUUCGCCGGUGAAGAAGGUCCUGCUCUUUGUGGUGGGGUUGACGGUAGCCGGGUUAUGAAGCGCCGGCUAACUACGUG